AGAUAGUUAGUCUAAUACAAGACAACUAAUUUCGACUUAGUUAAUCAUGAUUAAACCUCAUGACUAUCAA
rnacentral:tRNA from 1 species